rnacentral:rRNA from 1 species
AGCGAACGCUGGCGGCAGGCCUAACACAUGCAAGUCGAACGAACUCUUCGGAGUUAGUGGCGGACGGGUGAGUAACACGUGGGAACGUGCCUUUUGGUUCGGAAUAACUCAGGGAAACUUGUGCUAAUACCGAAUGUGCCCCUCGGGGGAAAGAUUUAUCGCCAUUAGAGCGGCCCGCGUCUGAUUAGCUAGUUGGUGAGGUAACGGCUCACCAAGGCGACGAUCAGUAGCUGGUCUGAGAGGAUGACCAACCACACUGGGACUGAGACACGGCCCAGACUCCUACGGGAGGCAGCAGUGGGGAAUCUUGCGCAAUGGGCGAAAGCCUGACGCAGCCAUGCCGCGUGAAUGAUGAAGGUCUUAGGAUUGUAAAAUUCUUUCACCGGGGACGAUAAUGACGGUACCCGGAGAAGAAGCCCCGGCUAACUUCGUG